AGUGUCCACUUCUCACAAGGGUGUGAAUACUAGGAGGCAGGAAUCAUUCAGGGACAUCUUGGACUCUGGCUACCGCAGAUGUCCGCUCUGCUUGUCUUCCCGCAUGAGAGAGCGCAGAUGUUCCUGAAAGCAUCUUUGCGUGGAUUUGCUUGAAGCAAGAUGCAAGAGAAGGGGCAAAGCUUGAAGGGAGCUGCUAGAGAGAGGAAAGCAGCUGGACAGGGCUUUCCUGAUGAAUGAAAUCUUAUUGUGGAUAAUGGAGAUCAGGUCCUGCGGUGGUGGAUCUAAUGGAAGGAUCCUAGGUCUCUGAAUCACCAUGUGGAAGAAGAUCAGUCACCAUCCCUAGGUGGA